UUGGAGAAAUUCAGUGGCUGUAGUUAACGCAAUAAGUACUCCGCCUGAGUAGUACGUACGCAAGUAUGAAACUCAAAGGAAUUGACGGGACCCCGCACAAGCGGUGGAUCAUGUUGUUUAAUUCGAUGAUACGCGAAGAACCUUACCAGGUCUUGACAUCCCUUGCAAAGCUCUAGAGAUAGAGUGGAGGUUAUCAAGGAGACAGGUGGUGCAUGGUUGUCGUCAGCUCGUGUCGUGAGAUGUUGGGUUAAGUCCCGCAACGAGCGCAACCCUUAUUGCUAGUUACCAUCAUUAAGUUGGGGACUCUAGCGAGACUGCCAGUGAUAAACUGGAGGAAGGUGGGGAUGACGUCAAAUCAUCAUGCCCCUUAUGACCUGGGCUACAAACGUGAUACAAUGGCUGAAACAAAGGGCAGCGAAGCAGUGAUGUGGAGCGAAACCCAAAAAAGCAGUCUCAGUUCGGAUUGAAGUCUGCAACUCGACUUCAUGAAGUCGGAAUCGCUAGUAAUCGCGGAUACAGAACGCCGCGGUGAAUA
rnacentral:rRNA from 1 species